rnacentral:tRNA from 1 species
GCCUGGGUGGCUCAGUUGGUUAAGCAUCUGACUUCAGCCCAGGUCAUGAUCUCACAGCUCGUGGGUUCGAGCCCUGCAUCAGGCU